UGGAAAUCAUUCGUAGAGUGCAAAGGCAUAAGGGAGCUUGACUGCGAGACCUACAAGUCGAGCAGGGACGAAAGUCGGGCUUAGUGAUCCGGUGGUUCCGCAUGGAAGGGCCAUCGCUCAACGGAUAAAAGCUACCCCGGGGAUAACAGGCUUAUCUCCCCCAAGAGUCCACAUCGACGGGGAGGUUUGGCACCUCGAUGUCGGCUCAUCGCAUCCUGGGGCUGUAGUCGGUCCCAAGGGUUGGGCUGUUCGCCCAUUAAAGCGGUACGCGAGCUGGGUUCAGAACGUCGUGAGACAGUUCGGUCCCUAUCCGUCGUGGGCGUAGGAAAUUUGAGAGGAGCUGUCCUUAGUACGAGAGGACCGGGAUGGACGCACCGCUGGUGUACCAGUUGUUCUGCCAAGGGCAUAGCUGGGUAGCUAUGUGCGGAAGGGAUAAGUGCUGAAAGCAUCUAAGCAUGAAGCCCCCCUCAAGAUGAGAUUUCCCAUAGCGUAAGCUAGUAAGAUCCCUGAAAGAUGAUCAGGUUGAUAGGUUCGAGGUGGAAGCAUGGUGACAUGUGGAGCUGACGAAUACUAAUAGAUCGAGGACUUAACCAUAUAA
rnacentral:rRNA from 1 species